rnacentral:rRNA from 1 species
UACGAGAGGCCCAAACGUUAUUCGGAAUUACUGGGCUUAAAGAGUUCGUAGGCGGCAUGAAAAGCAGGGUGUGAAAGCCCUCGGCUCAACCGAGGAAUUGCGCUCUGAACUGUCGUGCUUGAGGAACCUAGAGGUGAGCAGAACUGAUGGUGGAGCGGUGAAAUGCGUUGAUAUCAUCAGGAAUACCGGAGGCGAAGGCGGCUCACUGGGGGUUUUCUGACGCUGAGGAGCGAAAGUGUGGGGAGCGAACGGG